rnacentral:rRNA from 1 species
UCUCCGUUGGUGAACCAGCGGAGGGAUCAUUACCGAGUUAUUCAACUCAUCAACCCUGUGAACAUACCUAAACGUUGCUUCGGCGGGAACAGACGGCCCCGUGAAACGGGCCGCCCCCGCCAGAGGACCCCUAACUCUGUUUCUAUAAUGUUUCUUCUGAGUAAAACAAGCAAAUAAAUUAAAACUUUCAACAACGGAUCUCUUGGCUCUGGCAUCGAUGAAGAACGCAGCGAAAUGCGAUAAGUAAUGUGAAUUGCAGAAUUCAGUGAAUCAUCGAAUCUUUGAACGCACAUUGCGCCCGCCAGUAUUCUGGCGGGCAUGCCUGUUCGAGCGUCAUUACAACCCUCAGGCCCCCGGGCCUGGCGUUGGGGAUCGGCGGAGCCCCCCGUGGGCACACGCCGUCCCCCAAAUACAGUGGCGGUCCCGCCGCAGCUUCCAUCGCGUAGUAGCUAACACCUCGCGACUGGAGAGCGGCGCGGCCACGCCGUAAAACACCCAACUCUUCUGAAGUUGACCUCGAAUCAGGUAGGAAUACCCGCUGAACUUAA